GAUGAAGAACGCAGCGAAAUGCGAUAAGUAAUGCGAAUUGCAGAAUCCGUGAGUCAUCGAAUCUUUGAACGCACAUUGCGCCCUUUGGUAUUCCGAAGGGCAUGCCUGUUCGAGCGUCAUUAUCACCACUCAAGCCCGGCUUGCUGUUGGUGGCAGCGCAGCCGGUCAACCGGCUACGCUCCACCCAAAGAUAAUGACGGCGUCUGCGAGGACUCCUGUACAUUGAGCUUUCGGGCACGUACAUGGCUAGAAGUCCAGGCGCCGGUCGACGUCCUCCGGGACACUUUUUACCAAGGUUGACCUCGGAUCAGGUAGGGAUACCCGCUGAACUUAAGCAUAUCAUAAGCGGAGGA
rnacentral:misc_RNA from 1 species